GGAAUCACAGAGGAGCUGAGAAUGAAGAGAAUUCAGAAAACAGUGAAAUGGUUGUCAGAACAUGAGGACUGCCGGAAGGCCAGAGAUUAAAGGAACACAGUAUGGAGCAGGAGGCAGUGACUUGGCGAGGAUUCAAGUGUAAUCUUCGUUGAUUCGGAGACUGGUAUUGUGCAAGGUACUUCUGGGAUAUAGUGCAGGUCCCUUACUGUUUUCUGUUUAUGAACAACCUACCCUGAGGUGCUAAUUAGCUAGAAGAAUUGCAUAUACACAGAAUACUGUUUUGUUUCUCCAUAUAGAUACAUUUGUGAUCAAAGUGGAUUUAACUGUGUAGCUUAAUUGUGAGUAUCCUGGAUUUAUGAGAACAGCAAGGUAAUAGGAAAAAAUUAUGAAAAUGGUACUUUUCUAAAAAUUAGUUGCAAAUAUUUGGUUAAAUCUUUAUAACACCAGUGCUUGUUAAUGAUUUGUUACAUGCAAUAAAACCAUUUCAAUAUUAUUAUAUGUUUUUCA
rnacentral:lncRNA from 1 species